CCAGGGUAAGUCGGGACCUAAGGCGAGGCCGACAGGCGUAGUCGAUGGACAACCGGUUGAUAUUCCGGUACCCGCUUUGAAGCGCCAAACAUCGAAUCCUCUGAUGCUAAGGCCGUGAAGCCGCCCUGGAGUCUUCGGACAAAGGGGAGUGGUGGAGCCGCUGAUCCAAGGUGGUAGUAGGUGAGUGAUGGGGUGACGCAGG
rnacentral:rRNA from 1 species